rnacentral:rRNA from 1 species
GACGAACGCUGGCGGCGUGCUUAACACAUGCAAGUCGAACGGAAAGGCCCCUUUGGGGGUCCUCGAGUGGCGAACGGGUGAGUAACACGUGAGUAACCUGCCCUUGACUUCGGGAUAACUUCAGGAAACUGGGGCUAAUACCGGAUAGGAAUCCUUGCUGCAUGGUGGGGGUUGGAAAGCUUCGGCGGUUUUGGAUGGACUCGCGGCUUAUCAGCUUGUUGGUGGGGUAGUGGCUUACCAAGGCUUUGACGGGUAGCCGGCCUGAGAGGGCGACCGGCCACAUUGGGACUGAGAUACGGCCUAGACUCCUACGGGAGGCAGCAGUGGGGAAUAUUGCACAAUGGGCGGAAGCCUGAUGCAGCAACGCCGCGUGCGGGAUGACGGCCUUCGGGUUGUAAACCGCUUUCAGCAGGGGCGAAGCUUGUGGUGACGGUACCUGCAGAAGAAGCACCGGCUAACUACGUG